AAGACAUGCAAGUCGAACGGGAUUUAAUUUGUAGCAAUACCGAUUAAAUCUAGUGGCGAACGGGUGCGUAACACGUGAGCAAUCUGCCGGGAAGUGGGGGAUAACUCGCCGAAAGGCGAAUUAAUACCGCAUGUGGCCAGGAAGGACAUCCUUCCGAAGCCAAAGUCGCAAGACGCUUCCUGAUGAGCUCGCGGCCUAUCAGCUAGUUGGUGAGGUAAUGGCUCACCAAGGCUAUGACGGGUAGCUGGUCUGAGAGGACGACCAGCCACACUGGAACUGAGACACGGUCCAGACACCUACGGGUGGCAGCAGUCGAGAAUUUUUCACAAUGGGGGAAACCCUGAUGGAGCGACGCCGCGUGGAGGAUGAAGGUUUUCGGAUUGUAAACUCCUGUCAUGUGGGAACAAGAAAGUGAUAGUACCACAAGAGGAAGAGACGGCUAACUCUGUGCCAGCAGCCGCGGUAAUACAGAGGUCUCAAGCGUUGUUCGGAUUCAUUGGGCGUAAAGGGUGCGCAGGCUGUGGGGUAAGUCGGAUGUGAAAUUUAGAGGCUCAACCUCUAAACUGCAUUCGAUACUGCUCCGCUAGAGGUAUGUAGAGGAGAUUGGAAUUCACGGUGUAGCAGUGAAAUGCGUAGAUAUCGUGAGGAAGACCAGUGGCGAAGGCGAAUCUCUGGGCAUUACCUGACGCUCAUGCACGAAGGCCAGGGGAGCAAACGGGAUUAGAUACCCCGGUAGUCCUGGCAGUAAACGGUGCACGUUUGGUGUGGGAGGAUUCGACCCCUUCCGUGCCGGAGCUAACGCGUUAAACGUGCCGCCUGGGANUACAGUCGCAGAUUAAAACUCAAGAAAUGACGGGGGCCGCACAGCGGUGGAGUAUGUGGCUUAAU
rnacentral:rRNA from 1 species